rnacentral:sRNA from 1 species
AAAAUGCUCCGCCCAUUCGACCGAUUACACCGAAUCCGUUGAUCUGUGUUGAAGCUCAAGAAGCAUACGAGGACGGGGAAGAGGGGGUGAAGCCUGUGUCAAGUACGUCGGCCAGAGAUCUAAGCCUUCCUGGUUUGCCCACACACCCAGAAGCCAAUAAGCUGAAGCAGCUUACCAGUCCGCUCUCAAAGCUAGCCAAGAACAUUGGCUUGAACUUGGAUCCCCGAAAGAUAGCCACCAAGACCGGAGUCCUCUCACCUACCAGCCUCUCAGCCGAGAAUUCUCCACCAGAGCGCGGCCCAAGCUCACGGGAUCACUUGCUGGAGCUAUGGGAAGUCGAGAAGUGCAAAACCAAGUUAAUAGCCCUGUAAGAAGGCCGAUAGGCGAGCAAUAACGGAAGCUGCACACUUUUGAAUAAAUGCGUGCAAGUGAUAUAUUUAUUUUCGAAAUAGAAUGCCACAAACGAAAGUUGUUCUAUUUGUUGUUCGAGGCACUUCCAUUGAUGUCAUAUUAGGCAUAAAGCAAAGAUUAAAUUGUAACGUUUUUGUGGUUCUAAUAAUAUAGAUGAUAUACACCGUA